rnacentral:rRNA from 1 species
UACGUAGGGACCAAGCGUUGUUCGGAUUUACUGGGCGUAAAGGGCGCGUAGGCGGCGUGGUAAGUCACUUGUGAAAUCUCUGAGCUUAACUCAGAACUGCCAAGUGAUACUGCUGUGCUCGAGUGUGGAAGGGGCAAUCGGAAUUCUUGGUGUAGCGGUGAAAUGCGUAGAUAUCGAGAGGAACACCUGCGGCGAAGGCGGGUUGCUGGGCUGACACUGACGCUGAGGCGCGAAAGCUAGGGGAGCGAACGGG